rnacentral:rRNA from 1 species
UUAAACUAGGAUUNAGUACCCUAUUAUUCUUAUCUUCUUAUUGCUAGGGUAGUAAAAGACAUUCUUCAAACCCAAAGAAUUUGACGGCAUCUCAUUCUAAUCAGAGGAACCUGCCCCAUAAUCGAUAAUCCUCGUUUUACCUUACCUUUUUAAUGUAUGUAUACCGCCGUCGUCAGAUAAUUUUUAGAAAAUAUUAUCUAACAUAAAAGAAUUAUUAACUUCAGGUCAAGGUGCAGCUCAUAAAAAGGAGGAGGUGGGUUACAAUAAUCAUAAAUUAUAACGGACAGUUUAUGAAAAACAACUAGAAGGUGGAUUUGAAAGUAAAAUAGUUUCAGCAAGUUAAUUUGAAAAAAGCUCUGAGAUGUGUACACAUCGCCCGUCGCUCUCCCU